CCGUAGGGUGCGAGCGUUAAUCGGAAUUACUGGGCGUAAAGCGUGCGCAGGCGGUUUAGUAAGACAGGCGUGAAAUCCCCGGGCUCAACCUGGGAACUGCGCUUGUGACUGCUAAGCUAGAGUACGGCAGAGGGGGGUGGAAUUCCACGUGUAGCAGUGAAAUGCGUAGAGAUGUGGAGGAACACCAAUGGCGAAGGCAGCCCCCUGGGUCGAUACUGACGCUCAUGCACGAAAGCGUGGGUAGCAAACAGGAUUAGAUACCCUGGUAGUCCACGCCCUAAACGAUGUCAACUAGGUGUUGGGAGGGUAAAACCUUUUAGUACCGGAGCUAACGCGUGAAGUUGACCGCCUGGGGAGUACGGCCGCAAGGUUA
rnacentral:rRNA from 1 species